CAGCCGCCGCGGUAAUACGUAGGUGGCAAGCGUUGUCCGGAAUUAUUGGGUGUAAAGGGCUCGCAGGCGGUUUCUUAAGUCUGAUGUGAAAGCCCCCGGCUCAACCGGGGAGGGUCAUUGGAAACUGGGAAACUUGAGUGCAGAAGAGGAGAGUGGAAUUCCACGUGUAGCGGUGAAAUGCGUAGGGAUGUGGAGGAACACCAGUGGCGAAGGCGACUCUCUGGUCUGUAACUGACGCUGAGGAGCGAAAGCGUGGGGAGCGAACAGGAUUAGAGACCCCAGUAGUCCCUGUCUCUUAUAC
rnacentral:rRNA from 1 species